rnacentral:misc_RNA from 1 species
GGUGAUCAGCACUUCUUGAUACCUGAAGCAACAAACAUACAAUCACCAUCAUCUAGAUUUUCCACCAUAAAGCAAAAUAAUUGUUUACUCAUGUAAGUUGCUAAAUCAAUUAGUCAAUUGCUUAUUGCACAGCAGAUGGUUAAACAGAUACAAUAAUGGGCAUCUCUUGAUUGUUGCUGGACAAAUGGCAUAGGUGUUAGGGACCUGGGAAAUGUAUUUCUCAUACAGCAAAAGAAAAGGUUAUUUGAUCCUCUCACCCAUUUUUUGGAUUUUGCAAAGGGUAUGAAAUAUAAGAGAUUUUGAAGGAGGGAGUUUGUUUUACCAAUCUUACAGGCUAUGGUUAAGGAUUAGCGCCUUUUAGCUGAAUUUCACUCAUUUUCUCAUCAGGAAAGGACUAAUGCGCGUAUCUUCUCCUUUUAUGUUGUGGAGAGAGGGGCAGUGAGUGCAUGAGUCUAUGCACUUGAAUAAUUCUUAAGGCUACUGUGACAUCAUAAAUUGGCAAAAAAAGAAAAGGAAAAGACUC